UGCGUAGGCGGUUUUGUAAGUUGGAUGUGAAAUACCCGGGCUUAACUUGGGGGCUGCAUCCAAUACUGCAGGACUUGAGUGCAGGAGAGGAAAGCGGAAUUCCUAGUGUAGCGGUGAAAUGCGUAGAUAUUAGGAGGAACAUCAGUGGCGAAGGCGGCUUUCUGGACUGUAACUGACGCUGAGGCGCGAGAGCGUGGGGAGCAAACA
rnacentral:rRNA from 1 species